ACGCUCGACACCUACGGGAGUCAGCAGUGGGGAAUAUUGCACAAUGGGGGAAACCCUGAUGCAGCGACGCCGCGUGAGUGAAGAAGUAUUUCGGUAUGUAAAGCUCUAUCAGCAGGGAAGAAGAUGACGGUACCUGAGUAAGAAGCCCCGGCUAACUACGUGUCAGCAGCCGCGGUAAUCUGAGCGGGCUGGCAAGGC
rnacentral:rRNA from 1 species